GACGAACGCUGGCGGCGUGCUUAACACAUGCAAGUCGAACGGAAAGGCCCUGCUUUUGUGGGGUGCUCAAGUGGCGAACGGGUGAGUAACACGUGAGUAACCUGCCCUUGACUUUGGGAUAACUUCAGGAAACUGGGGCUAAUACCGGAUAGGAGCUCCUGCUGCAUGGUGGGGGUUGGAAAAUUUCGGCGGUUGGGGAUGGACUCGCGGCUUAUCAGCUUGUUGGUGGGGUAGUGGCUUACCAAGGCUUUGACGGGUAGCCGGCCUGAGAGGGUGACCGGCCACAUUGGGACUGAGAUACGGCCCAGACUCCUACGGGAGGCAGCAGUGGGGAAUAUUGCACAAUGGGCGGAAGCCUGAUGCAGCAACGCCGCGUGCGGGAUGACGGCCUUCGGGUUGUAAACCGCUUUCGCCUGUGACGAAGCGUGAGUGACGGUAAUGGGUAAAGAAGCACCGGCUAACUACGUG
rnacentral:rRNA from 1 species